rnacentral:misc_RNA from 1 species
CGGGUGGUAGCCAUUGUUAAGUUUUUCAUUGAAUGAAUAAGGCAAAAGGCAAAAGACGCUGCAACGUUCGUAAUUUUGUAUAUUUACGCAACGUUCGUAAUUUCAAUGCAAAACUACAUUAUCGCCCAAUAAAAAAAGUGAAGACAACACUGAGGCUUUAACAAAGGGUGAAUGAUGGAAGGCAAAGAACCUGAUGAUGACGGUUGGCGUCAGGGUGGCAUCAUUGGAAAUGGUGGCUUUGGAAUGGUAGAACUCUGGAUCAAUGAGGAGCUUAAUAGGAAAAUAGCACUCAAAAAGUGUCGCCUGCUGACAGAAAUGAAUGAGAAACAUAAAUCGCGUUGGGCCUUAGAGGUUCAGAUAAUGCGACGUCUACAUCAUACCAAUGUUGUUAAAGCAGGAGAAGUGCCAAAGAAAAUGGAUGUGUCACCAGGCGAAAUGCCAGUGCUGGCCAUGGAGUAUUGCUCAGGAGGUGACCUUAGAAAAGUAUUAAAUAAACCAAGGAACUGCUGUGGACUGAGGGAGUGUGACGUGCGAAGCAUUGCACAUGAUAUAGCAUCAGGCCUAGACUAUCUCCAUAGCAACCGCAUUAUACAUAGAGAUCUGAAACCAGAGAAUGUUGUACUGCAGGAGGUUGAUGAUAAGAUAGUGUACAAGCUGAUAGACCUUGGCUAUGCCAAAGAUUUGGAUGCUGGGAGUGUGUGUACAUCAUUUGUAGGAACUUUGCAAUAUUUGGCUCCUGAAUUAUAUGAUGGAUCUGCAUAUACUUGUCGUACAGUUGAUUUCUGGUCAUUUGGUACGAUGUUGUUUGAGUGUGUAUGUGGAUUCAGACCAUUCCUUCCUAACCUCACCCCUGUGCAAUGGCAGCAGAAGGUUAGUCUAAAGCAGCCUGAUGAUAUAUGUGUCAUGUUUGGUCCCAACUCUGAGGUCAUCUACAGCAAGGACUUGCCUAAACCCAACCAACUGUGCAGAAUAACUGAGAUGCAGCUUCAAGAUUGGUUCAAGCUGAUGCUGAUGUGGGACCCUAAACAUAGAGGUGGCCCUAAAGAUGAAAAGAAAAAGAAACAAAAAUGCUUUAUUUUAAUGAAUGAAAUCCUGCAGUAUAAGAUAAUCAAGUGUCUUGAUGUCGCACAAAACAUCCUCUACAACAUUGCCAUUCAGAGUAGAACUACCCUACAGGAGGUACAAGAGAGUUUAGCGGAAAACACUAAGAUACCAGUAUCCCAGCAGAUGUUAUUAUUGGCCAGUGGUCUUUCUCCCGAUCCUAGCCAGCCAGCUACACAAUGUCUCAGUGAUCGGGAUGAAGACUGGAUUGUAUUUCUCUUCAAACGAGAUGAGACAUACUAUCAUAAUCCGAAGAAGCAGUCUUAUCUACCGGAGAAUGUUGCAUUUAUGGCUAAAAAUCCUAGUAUGUUACUGCCCUACCCAACACAGAAAAAAUCCUGGGGAUGUGCUUAUGACUGGUGCAGAGAUCAGGCUAAGGCACACAAUAGGCUCCUUCAAGCACAGAGAGCUACAAUGCUUCACUUGUUGCGGCUGAACACCAGCGCCUUACAGCUAAAGAAUGAGGUCAUCCAAAACAACAAUCGUCUUGCAGUAGAAACAGAGUUUGUUCAACAGAGUCAGGCUAUCGAUAUGGAAGAAUACGAGAAACAGAAAAAUGGUGGUCUCUAUUCUGAAAAGAUGUUUAAAGCUUGGCGUAAGAUGCGUGAUGAAAUAACCACAUUUACAAAACUGAGGGAUAGUGUAACUAAACUGGAAGAGCAAACAACAUCAUUGAAUCAACGUGUAGUUGAGCUUCAGAGAAGUCCAUAUGCUAAAUCCAAACAGAAGGACAGUCUACUAGUCAUGGAUGAAUUAGAAAAAAAGGCAUUACAAUUAUAUGAAGACUUAGUUAAAAAACCAAAGGAUCAGCGAACUAUGAUGUCUGAUAAUUCAAAUAUGGUGAAAAUUUUGUUCCGCUGCCUCAAACAACAAGAGAUCCUAACUAAUGAACUCUAUCAACAUUUAGGGAAACUAGCCAGUUGUAGGUGCGAAAUAUCUGUAUUGAUAUCACCUUUGGAGCAUGCUCUGCUAAACAUAAAGGCAGCUCUUAAUAAACUCUCUCUCCAUCAGCACCAGAGACAACAGGACAUUUGGAAACUAGUUAAAGUGGCGACAAAUCAAGCAAAAAUGACCUCAGUGGGUAAAACAGAAGAGAUAGGACCCCUCAAUGCCCAAGAGUCAGCCAAAUACACUACUAACCCAAGCAUACAGACAGAACCUACAUCAUCUAUACUGGAAAAGAACAAAGAAGAGUCAUUACUCUUGAUAGAUAGGAACCAGUCAACGAGACACAGGUUAACUGAUCUGCUGACAUCGUUUCAAGAUCCUGCUAUGACAUCAAGUAUGCAUUCUGACAUCAAUGACUGGCACUUCUUAGAUGAACACAAUUCUUGAUUGAAACAUGUUUUUGAAAUUAUUCUUAACGUGACAUGUUUUUGAAAUUAUUUUAAUGAAUAUUGAUACAUGAAACCAGUAUCAGGACGUACAAUGAAUCAUUUAGGAUCUGAACUACUGAACACCAGCUGCGUCAUAAGUGCUGUUGCCCUCUGAAUGGUAUACAAUUACCCUAAACAUAUUGGGUACUCCAUGCCCAUCCUCUGAUAAAAACUGGUC